rnacentral:misc_RNA from 1 species
GAUGAAGAACGCAGCGAAAUGCGAAAAGUAAUGUGAAUUGCAGAAUUCAGUGAACCAUCGAAUCUUUGAACGCACAUUGCGCCCGCUGGAACUCCGGCGGGCACGCCUGUCCGAGCGUCAUUUCAACCCUCAGGCCCCCCUUCGCGGGCGGGCCUGGUGUUGGGGCCCGGCCGCUACCCUGCGGCCGUCCCCUAAAUUCAGUGGCGGCCUCGCCGUGAUCCCUUGCGUAGUAAUGCACCUCGCACCGGAGAGCGCCGUGGCCACGCCGUAAAACCCCAAAUUUUCUAUGGUUGACCUCGGAUCAGGUGGGAAUACCCGCUGAACUUAAGCAUAUCAAUAAGCGGAGGA